rnacentral:rRNA from 1 species
AGCGAACGCUGGCGGCAGGCUUAACACAUGCAAGUCGAGCGGACGUAGCAAUACGUCAGCGGCAGACGGGUGAGUAACGCGUGGGAACGUACCUUUUGGUUCGGAACAACCCAGGGAAACUUGGGCUAAUACCGGAUAAGCCCUUACGGGGAAAGAUUUAUCGCCGAAAGAUCGGCCCGCGUCUGAUUAGCUAGUUGGUGAGGUAACGGCUCACCAAGGCGACGAUCAGUAGCUGGUCUGAGAGGAUGAUCAGCCACAUUGGGACUGAGACACGGCCCAAACUCCUACGGGAGGCAGCAGUGGGGAAUAUUGGACAAUGGGCGCAAGCCUGAUCCAGCCAUGCCGCGUGAGUGAU